AUUGAACGCUGGCGGCAGGCUUAACACAUGCAAGUCGAGCGGGGUGAUGGUGCUUGCACUAUCACUUAGCGGCGGACGGGUGUGUAAUGCUUAGGAAUCUGCCUAUUAGUGGGGGACAACAUCUCGAAGGGGAUGCUAAUACCGCAUACGUCCUACGGGAGAAAGCAGGGGAUCACUUGUGACCUUGCGCUAAUAGAUGAGCCUAAGUCGGAUUAGCUAGUUGGUGGGGUAAAGGCUCACCAAGCCGACGAACUGUAGCUGGUCUGAGAGGACGACCAGCCACACUGGGACUGAGCCGCGGCCCAGACUCCUACGGGAGGCAGCAGUGGGGAAUUUUGGACAAUGGACGCAAGUCUGAUCCAGCCAUGCCGCGUGCGGGAAGAAGGCCUUCGGGUUGUAAACCGCUUUUGUCAGGGAAGAAAAGGCUCCUUCUAAUAUAGGGGGCUCAUGACGGUACCUGAAGAAUAAGCACCGGCUAACUACGUGCCAGCAGCCGCGGUAA
rnacentral:rRNA from 1 species